rnacentral:rRNA from 1 species
UGAGCAAUCUGCCCUUCUCAUCGGAAUAACCAUUGGAAACGAUGGCUAAUACCGAAUAUGACUUCGGAUCGCAUGAUCUGAAGUGGAAAGCUCCGGCGGUGAAGAAUGAGCUCGCGGCCUAUCAGCUUGUUGGUGAGGUAAUAGCUCACCAAGGCGACGACGGGUAGCCGGCCUGAGAGGGUGACCGGCCACACUGGGACUGAAACACGGCCCAGAUCCUACGGG